rnacentral:rRNA from 1 species
AACGAACGCUGGCGGCAUGCCUAACACAUGCAAGUCGAACGAAGGCUUCGGCCUUAGUGGCGCACGGGUGCGUAACGCGUGGGAAUCUGCCCCUCGGUUCGGAACAACAGUUAGAAAUGACUGCUAAUACCGGAUGAUGACUUCGGUCCAAAGAUUUAUCGCCGAGGGAUGAGCCCGCGUAGGAUUAGGUAGUUGGUGGGGUAAAGGCCUACCAAGCCGACGAUCCUUAGCUGGUCUGAGAGGAUGAUCAGCCACACUGGGACUGAGACACGGCCCAGACUCCUACGGGAGGCAGCAGUGGGGAAUAUUGGACAAUGGGCGCAAGCCUGAUCCAGCAAUGCCGCGUGAGUGAUGAAGGCCUUAGGGUUGUAAAGCUCUUUUACCCGGGAUGAUAAUGACAGUACCGGGAGAAUAAGCUCCGGCUAACUCCGUGCCAGCCGCCGCGGUAA